AGGUUAACAGUGGCUGGAGCCUCCAUACCAAACAACUGUCUCUGUUACACACACAGAUAGAUACACAGACAGGUGAGGUUAACAGUGGCUGGAGCCUCCAUACCAAACAACUGUCUCUGUUACACACACAGAUAGAUACACAGACAGGUGAGGUUAACAGUGGCUGGAGCCUCCAUACCAAACAACUGUCUCUGUUACACACACAGAUAGAUA